GGAAGUGAACCAUCUCAGUACCCGGAGGAGAAGAAAACAAACAGUGAUUCCGUCAGUAGCGGCGAGCGAAAGCGGAAAAGCCUAAACCGAUGAGCAUGCUCAUCGGGGUUGUGGGACAGUUCAAUAGGAGUUACAAAUCUGAUAGUUAGCGGAAGUCGCAUGGAAAGGCGCUCCGGAGAACGUUAUAGGCGUGUACGCGAAAACUAUUCAGACUCUGGACUGUAUCCCGAGUAAUGCGGGACACGAGGAAUUCUGCAUGAAUCUGGGAGGACCAUCUCCUAAGGCUAAAUACUCAUACGCGACCGAUAGUGAACUAGUACCGUGAGGGAAAGGCGAAAAGAACCGGGGGAACCGGAGUGAAAUAGAUCCUGAAACCGUGUGCUUACAAGCAGUGGGAGGGCUAUAUGCCUGACCGCGUGCCUUUUGCAUAAUGAGCCGGCUAGUU
rnacentral:rRNA from 1 species